ensembl:lncRNA novel transcript, antisense to CRTAM
GAAGCACUGCCCCGCUUUCUACAUUUGGCACAAUCAAAACUAUCUCCAGACAUUGUCCUAUCUCCACGGGAAGGACAGGCAGCUUUCACAGCCUAGUGAAAGGCCAUCACUUUUCUGCAGUGCACCAGCCACGCUGGGUGAUUAAUACAGGAGACUGCAUACCUCAGGCUGGUUCCAGGAAUGGAGUCUACUCCGUGUGCAGAGCAGUUGGGUGUGAGGAUGGGCAGAAUUAGAGCCAGCCUGAUUCCAGGCACUCCAGUGACCAAGGAUGGAAGAUGCUGGUAGAGUAACCAAACUAAUUCCCUGAAUUCACGUACUACAGCACCUCUCAUCUACCACUGUCUGUUAGUUGAGACUUCAGUUUCUGAUACGGUCACUCUUUCAGCUACCAGUGGCCAAUAAGAUCCACGCAAUUCAGUCCCACCUUUCAUCAACAGAGGUCAAAAAGGAAGUGAUUACAAGCCCACAGGGAGAUCGAGAAAGAUGUGACAUCGAUAAAGUGUUUUGAGGUCCUCAGAAACAACCGCUGUCAAUGGAGGGUGUGCAUUUUUGCUGAGCGGAAGUAUCCUAACAGAAGAGUGAUAGCCCUGAGCUGGUGUCCACAGUCAGGCUCUGGGGAGAGGCUGGCCAGGGCUGCCUUCUUCCUCGCAGAUCCUCGGAUCAAGUCACUAGCGCUAUCCCUGAAGCCUUUACUCCCCAGUUGGCAGAGUAGUAACAUCACUGCCCACCUGAAUAUCUCUGGAGGGAGCUGAGCGCUACCAGGAAUAUGAAAAACAACAACAAUAAGAGAAGAGGCAGCUGAAUGUAUUGGGAGGAACAGAGGAUUGGGAAAGAAAAGACCCAGGUUCUAGCACGGGUUCCAAACAGAAGGGCAGGUUUAUAUAAUUCCAGCCCAGCCAAAAGGACAUAGAGUUUUAGUUACUUGUGGCUCUUCUUUGGAGAGCUGACUACUUUUGGUUGUAGCAAUUGGUCUCACCCUAGAUCAAACCUCCAUGACUCAUCUAGAGGUUUCUCUCACUGGAGAAGGCUGAUGGAGCUAACAUGAGAUACAAUGAUGGAUGUGAUGUGGAGCACAGUUUCCUAAAAUCAGCAUUCUAAUGAAUAGUGGAGCACUAUGGUCAGCCAGGAUUCUCUAGGAAAAUAAGCCAGGCUCCCAGUCCACUGCAGAAGGCCUGGGUGUGUGGCUCCAGACUCCAUUCCCUUCAUAAUAAACACCAUCUUCCCAGGGGAGAACAGGUUGCAGCCAGGCAGCAUUGCCUGUGUGAGGCCUCAGCCAGCACAACAGUUCUGGCCGAGUAUAAACAGAGCACCCAAUUAAAACACCUAAUUAUAGGGUAGGCUGGAGCCAGGAGGUGGGCUCUGUUGGUGGCCCUGAAGCCGGCUGCUGGCCAGGCUGCCAGCAUCUCCCUGACAAGCCACAUCCAAUUUCAGACUGCAAUGAGCCUCCAAUGGACAGAUGACGACAGAGAUGGGAGGGCAGAGAAGGAGUGUGACACACCUCACUGCUUCUUAGCUCCUGGGGCGUGGACCGCAUUCUCCCAAGGAGCAUUCAGGAGGCUUCUGGGAAGACACUCCUCAGUGCAAGAGAAUUGGAAUUUCACAUUUUAGGGACCCGAUUAUCUCAUCCACACAGUGAAAUAAUAUCUAAUUUUUCCAUUAUAAUAAGAUAAAUGCUGCCAGGUGUAACUUAAAAAGCUCUUUGUUGUUGGCCAAAGCAC